GACGAACGCUGGCGGCGUGCUUAACACAUGCAAGUCGAACGGAAAGGCCCUGCUUUUGUGGGAUGCUCGAGUGGCGAACGGGUGCGUAACACGUGAAUAACCUGCCCUUGACUUUGGUAUUACUUCAGGAACCUGCGGCUAAUACCGGAAAGGAGCACCUGCUUCGUGGUGGGGGUUGGAAAGUUUGGGCGGUUGGGGAUGGACUGGCGGCUUAUCAGCUUGUUGGUGGGGUAGUGGCUUACCAAGGCCUUGACGGGUAAGGGGCCUGAGAGGGUGACCGGCCACAGGGGGACUGAGAUACGGCCCAGACUCCUACGGGAGGCAGCAGUGGGGAAUAUUGCACAAUGGGCGGAAGCCUGAUGCAGCAACGCCGCGUGCGGGAUUACGGCCUGCGGGUUGGAAACCGCUUUCGCCUGUGACGAAGCGUGAGUGACGGUAAUGGGUAAAGAAGAACCGGCUAACUACGUG
rnacentral:rRNA from 1 species